rnacentral:rRNA from 1 species
CUACGGGAGGCAGCAGUGGGGAAUUUUGGACAAUGGGCGCAAGCCUGAUCCAGCCAUUCCGCGUGAGUGAAGAAGGCCUUCGGGUUGUAAAGCUCUUUCGCAAGGGAAGAAAACUUAUCCUCUAACAUAGGGUGAGGUUGACGGUACCUUGAUAAGAAGCACCGGCUAACUACGUGCCAGCAGCCGCGGUAAUACGUAGGGUGCGAGCGGUAAUCGGAAUUACUGGGCGUAAAGCGUGCGCAGGCUGUUUUGUAAGUCAGAUGUGAAAUCCCCGAGCUCAACUUGGGAACUGCGUUUGAAACUACAAGACUAGAAUAUGUCAGAGGGGGGUAGAAUUCCAUGUGUAGCAGUGACAUGCGUAGAGAUGUGGAGGAAUACCAAUGGCGAAGGCAGCCCCCUGGGAUAAUAUUGACGCUCAUGCACGAAAGCGUGGGGAGCAAACAGGAUUAGAUACCCCUGUAGUC